rnacentral:lncRNA from 1 species
CAAGACAUACAAUUCAAAUACGUUCGUACAAGCCACAUACAAACCCAGGGUUUACACCUUUCCAGCUUCAAGUGGCAACCCGAAACAAAAGCUACAUUGUUUAAUUCAAACUACAUGCUUAAAGUACAAGUAGAUCUCAAGUCUUCCUCAGUUGUCAGAACCUGUAAAAGAAAACCUGUGACGGCCCCACCUCCCCCUAAGGCGAACCAGAGGGUUCGGCGGGCCGCCUGUCCAGCUCUCGCCGGGACUCAGUCGUUCACUACAAUCCUCAAAUAUAUUACAAUAUAACUCUCAAAAUUACAUCAAAUUCUCCAAUAAUUACAUAUCACAAAUGCAGCGGAAACUAAUUCCAAUCGUGGGAUGUAUACUUACAUCCAUAUCAAUUUCAAAUAUUUAUACAAGACCAACUCGUACAUAAAAUAGAUCCAAACUUAAACUGUACACGAUAUAAGCCAUCCAGUCACGUGAAUAAGCACUCCAAGCUUUUCUUCGCCUUGAGCCCUGUGGGGGGGAAAUAAAACAUUUUUGGGGUGAGCUAGAAGCUCAGCGAGUAACCAUUAAAAUCAGUAAUCAAUUCAGUUUCACAGUCGUUCAUUUCAGUGAUGUCAUGAUUUCAAGAUCAAAGGUACAUUUAUUGCUCUCGUGAGCCAGCGAAAUCGUUGUACUUAAACACCCAACGCUCCAAACAAACAUUAAACAGUAAACAGUCAGUGGGGGAGCCAUUUGCUCCAGAUGAACAGUACACAGAGGUGGAGACGUUGGUGUUCAGCACACGAAUUCCAAGCACUCAUUUAAGCCAAAACAUGUCAUGGGCCACAUGCAAGCACUCAUGAUAUGCAAUCAAGUAAAUAGUGCAAUAAACGGUUCAUAAGUAAUUUUGGAAACAGUUUAGGGUCACUCACCUCCACGGCUCAGAAACCAUCCAUCAUGUAUCAUUGCCUUGCUCAACUCCAAGCCUUAGAUCACAAACCCAAUGCAAACAAGUCCCUUCAAAGUUCGGACAGCACUUCCCCUACAUUUGCUAACUUUUUCCAGCCAUCAUGGCUUCAUUAUUACUCCAGCCAGUCCCAAAGUCACACAAAUAAGUUCAUCUAAUAUCCAUUCAGCAAGCUCCAAGUAGUACAAAGACAAGUCAAGCUAGGGAAAAGUCCGGAAAUGAAGGUUAAGCUCAAAACCAGAAAAACAGUUUUGACGUCAUAAUGCGGUAAUGGCACAACUCUCACUACAAUUAUCGGUUGGGGGUGUAAGACCCACCGUUUCGAAGCUAUGAAAUAGGGCUACAACAAUGUAGAAGGUCACUCAAUCCAGUUCCUAGCCCAACUAGGUCAAAAAUGCCAAACACUAAACCAGAAUCACCAAAACAGGUUUGCAAAAAACAGAAAACUGUAAUCGGUAUAUCUCAGUCCAUACAAGUCCAAAUGCCGAAAAUCCAAAGGAAUAAGUUAGCUAAGACAUCCAGCUACAUUUCAUCAGAAGACACCAACUCCAAAAUCCAAACCAAUUCCAGUCAAAAUGGCCAAUUACUAUCGCAGUUUUCGCAUUCUGAUCAAAGCAGAACAGCUACAGUAAUUUCGGCAUAACUCACUCUACACUAAUCCAAAUGACCUAAAAUUUUACAGGCACCUCAAACACAUCAAUACCUACAACUUUCAUGUUUUGAGCAAAGUCCAAUUCGGCCUCUAACCUUAUGAUAUAAAACCGGACAGAAUUAGGGGUUUAUGAACCCUAACUUUCCAAAAUUUAUUCCAAAUCCAAAAUUGGUUGCAAAUAUCAAUCAUUUCCAUCCACUAGAGUCAUAACCCCUCAUUAUCAAUCAUCAUAAACAACCACAACACCAUAAUCCAAUUAAACCAGAAAAAUCAUCAUAAAAUUGAAAACUUCACCAAAUCACUUCAAACCAAGAUAAAAACCAGAAAUUUCAUCACUCUAAUCACUACUAAUCAUAUCUUAAGCAUCAAUAGGUGUAGGUGGAAGUUUAAGCUUCACUUACCAAGAAACAAGAGAGAGAGAGAUGUUGGCCACCUUAGACCUUCAAACAAACUUCACUACAACACUUACUAGCACUAGAAGAAAGGUUUUUAUGGAGUAGAAUCUAAUCUAGGCUUUUGUUUGUGGGAGAUUGAAGCAAAUGGAGCUUGAAAGUUGAAGAAAUGCACUUCCUUCUUGAGCUAGGGAGAUCCGGCCACCAAGAGAAGAAAAUGGUGAUUUUUGUGCAUUUUUUUGAUAUUUAAUCCUUUGGUCAAAAAAAGGCAAGAAAGUGAAUAGUAAUUCUUAAAGUCCAACCAAUGAGAAUGUGACACUUGUCACCUCAUUAAAUGCAUUCCUAUCCUUUCUUUCUUCUCUCACAUCAAUCAAAUCACCUCCUCUAUUUAUCUCUUAACACCCGAUAAAUUUAACACAGUAUCCGGAAUUUAACCUAAUUGGCCGAAUUUUUCCGAACUUUUCGCACUAGUGGGUCCCACGUCCGAUAUACGUUCUUAAUUUUUAAAAAACUCACUAAUGCUAGAAAAAUCAUCUAAAAACUUUAGUUGCUCAUAAAAUCCACCCAGAUAAUAUUUCUAAGCCAGAAGUGCAAAAAUUAUGCAAUUAAAGGAACUAAAACCCUAGGAAAAUAUUAAAGUUUUUACGGGUUCUCACACUCUUUUUUUUCGGGGCGUCACAAAACCACAACGUGGGAUGAGCUACACAGCCCAGUGAGGUUCCAAGACGCUCUAACAGUUCAAAUAGGUCAGGUAAGUUGUGCAUAUCAUAUGCAUG